rnacentral:tRNA from 1 species
AAGGGAGACCUAAUUCCGGUAGGAGACGAAAAAAAAGUAGUCCCUACCAAGAAUCAAUCCCAAAAGGUCGAAGCGAGGCAAGAUUGGCUUUCAAACUAGGUUCUGGGUUCAAACAAGACCUGAAUCAGGAACAAGGGCUAUUAGCUCAGGUGGUUAGAGCGCACCCCUGAUAAGGGUGAGGUCCCUGGUUCGAGUCCAGGAUGGCCCACCUGCACAGGUGGCAAAAACAAAGAAGCGAGGAAUCAGCACCUUAUCUUACUCAUAUAGUAAGAGAGAAUGCUGGCUCUGAGUAAAGAGUCCAGAGGAACCUUGAAAACUGCAUAGAGCUAGGUGAAAAAGCCAAGAAAGAAGACCGCAA